rnacentral:lncRNA from 1 species
AAAUUCUCAGUUUUCAUUCCAGAACCAUAAAUCUCUCUUGAUAACUAUGAAAUUUAUUCCUGAUGGGCCUUCUAAUAACUGGGAAUAUUUAGGACAUUUUUGGGUCUAAUGGUCAUUAUCAUUGUCUAAAUGUAGUUACACAGGAUCAUUUGUGUGUGUGUGUGUGUGUGUAUUUUUAUUUAUUUAUUUUAAUUUCUCUUGUUUUUUGUUUUGAGAUGGAGUCUCGCUCUGUCGCCCAGGAUGGAAUGCAGUGGCAUGAUCUCGGCUCACUGCAAAUUCCGCCUCCCAGGUUCAAGUGAUUCUCCUGUCUCCUGUAAUUCGAGUAGCUGGAAUUACAGAUGUGCGCCACCAGGCCCAUCUAAUUUUUGUAUUUUUAGUAGAGACAAAGUUUCACCAUUUUGGCCAGGUUGGUCUCAGACUCCUGAGCGCAAGUGAUCCGCCUGCCUUGGCCUCCCAAAGUAUUCGGAUUACAGGCAUGAACCACUGCACCCAGCCUUAUUUCAGUACCUUUUGGGGUACAAGUGAGUUUUUUUCCCAUGGAUGAAUUAUAGUGGUGCAUUCUGAGAAUUUAGUGCACCCAUCACUGAGUAGCGUACAUAGUAUCUAAUGUGUAGUUUUUUAUCCCUAGCCCCCGCUCACCCUCUCCAUUCUGAAUCUCUAACGUCCAUGAUACCACUCUGUAUGCCUUUGUGUACUCAUACUUAGCUCCCACUUAUAAGUGAGAACAUAUGGUGUUUGGUUUUUCACUCCACACAGGAUCAUUUUAAAAAUGAAUACUCUUCUUUCCUGCAAAAGCUUCUUAAAAACAGCUUGAUUUAUCUAUUGCCUAUUAAAUUGAAUAACUACAACAUUUUAGGGUUUGUACAACCAAAAGAUGUA